AAGUUGUAACAAGGUUUUUGUAGGUAAACCUGCAGAAGAAUUAUUACCUUUCUAGCUAUUUAAUAGCUUGUCUAGAAGCUAUAGUUUCUGUAGUCUCUAACUACGUCCGUGUUUUUUGCGUACUACAUGUUUUUCUUAGCAGGCUUGCUUACUAGUUAAACAAACUAAAACUCUUUGUAAUUACAAUUAGCGUCUAAAUUAUAUAAUAAUUAUAA
rnacentral:misc_RNA from 1 species